rnacentral:rRNA from 1 species
AGAAUCAACGCUGGCGGCGUGCCUAACACAUGCAAGUCGAACGAGAAAGGGGUAGCAAUACCUGAGUAAAGUGGCGUACGGGUGAGUAACACGUGACUAACCUACCUUUAAGUGGGGGAUAACCUAGGGAAACCUGGGCUAAUACCGCAUAAAACCUACGGGUCAAAGCAGCAAUGCGCUGAAAGAGGGGGUCGCGGCCGAUUAGCUGGUUGGCGGGGUAAUGGCCCACCAAGGCAAUGAUCGGUAUCCGGCCUGAGAGGGCGCACGGGACNCACUGGGAACUGAAACACGGUCCAGACUCCUACGGGAGCAGC